rnacentral:rRNA from 1 species
UACGUAGGGGGCAAGCGUUGUCCGGAUUUAUUGGGCGUAAAGAGCGUGUAGGCGGCCAGGUAGGUCGGUUGUGAAAACUGGAGGCUCAACCUUGAGAGGUCGACCGAAACCAUCUGGCUAGAGUCCGGGAGAGGAGAGUGGAAUUCCUGGUGUAGCGGUGAAAUGCGCAGAUAUCAGGAAGAACACCCGUGGCGAAAGCGGCUCUCUGGAACGGUACUGACGCUGAGACGCGAAAGCGUGGGGAGCGAACAGG